rnacentral:lncRNA from 1 species
ACUAUCUCCGUCCCUAAUUAUAAGAUCCUUUUGAAAAAAUAAUUUGUCCCUUUUUAUAAGACCCUUUUGGUAUUUCCAAGUACAUUAAUUAUUUCUUUACCAACAUACCCUUAUUUAUUUUGCAUUUUUUUCUUCAAUCAACAAUAAAUAUUAUAUUGAAAAUAUAAAUUAACUCUCUCUCUUAAGGAUAAAAUUGUAAAAACAAUAGUAAUUAUAUACAAAUUUAAUACUAC